UACAGAGGUGGCAAGCGUUGUUCGGAAUUACUGGGCGUAAAGGGCGAGUAGGUGGCCAUCUAAGUCAGACGUGAAAUCCCCCGGCUUAACCUGGGAACUGCGUCUGAUACUGGACGGCUAGAGUUUGGGAGAGGGAUGCAGAAUUCCAGGUGUAGCGGUGAAAUGCGUAGAUAUCUGGAGGAAUACCGGUGGCGAAGGCGGCAUCCUGGACCGGCAUUGACGCUGAGGAGCGAAAGCUAGGGGAGCAAGCGGG
rnacentral:rRNA from 1 species